UACAGAGGUCUCAAGCGUUGUUCGGAUUCAUUGGGCGUAAAGCGCGCGUAGGCGGCUCGGAAAGUCGGGCGUGAAAUGCCGGGGCUCAACCCCGGGACUGCGUCCGAUACUUCCGAGCUGGAGGUAGGUAGGGGAGAUCGGAAUUCCUGGUGUAGCGGUGAAAUGCGCAGAUAUCAGGAGGAACACCGGUGGCGAAGGCGGAUCUCUGGGCCUGUUCUGACGCUGAGGCGCGAAAGCUAGGGGAGCGAACAGG
rnacentral:rRNA from 1 species